rnacentral:rRNA from 1 species
UGAACGCUGGCGGUAGGCCUAACACAUGCAAGUCGAACGGCAGCACAGUAAGAGCUUGCUCUUACGGGUGGCGAGUGGCGGACGGGUGAGGAAUACAUCGGAAUCUACUUUUUCGUGGGGGAUAACGUAGGGAAACUUACGCUAAUACCGCAUACGACCUACGGGUGAAAGCAGGGGAUCUUCGGACCUUGCGCGAUUGAAUGAGCCGAUGUCGGAUUAGCUAGUUGGCGGGGUAAAGGCCCACCAAGGCGACGAUCCGUAGCUGGUCUGAGAGGAUGAUCAGCCACACUGGAACUGGGACACGGUCCAGACUCCUACGGGAGGCAGCAGUGGGGAAUAUUGGACAAUGGGCGCAAGCCUGAUCCAGCCAUACCGCGUGGGUGAAGAAGGCCUUCGGGUUGUAAAGCCCUUUUGUUGGGAAAGAAAAGCAGCAGGUUAAUACCCCGCUGUUCUGACGGUACCCAAAGAAUAAGCACCGGCUAACUUCGUG